rnacentral:lncRNA from 1 species
CCCCAGCCUGCGCUGCUCCAGCUCCACGUGCGCCCGGGGAUGCAAUGCAGCCCUGCAGACAAGCGUCUCCGGCAGGACGUGGGCCGCGGGUCUCGGAGCCUCCUUCACUUAGAUCCCAUGAACAGCAGUACCACCUGCCAACGCGUCCUCAUAUGUAAAAUGGGCAUAAACUCGAACCUCCCUCCUAAGGCUGUGAGUUCAGUGAGCAUUUAAUGGGCACUUUAGAACAACGCCUAAAGGUUUGAUAAAUUAUCCCUUGCAAAUAGCACUGCAUUAAAUUAGCCACUCUGUGAGGUAGGUACCGCUAUUUCAAUUUUUCAGAUUAGGAAAUUGGAGCUUGGAAAGUUUCAGAUACAUUUCCUUUUUUUUUUUUUUUUUUUUUUGAUCCAGGAACUAUUACACAGGCUGGAGUGCAGUGGCGCGAUCUCGUGUCACUACAACCUCUGCAUUUCC